rnacentral:rRNA from 1 species
CACUCUAGAGAGACUGCCAGGGAUAACCUGGAGGAAGGUGGGGAUGACGUCAAAUCAUCAUGCCCCUUAUGCUUAGGGCUACACACGUGCUACAAUGGGUAGUACAGAGGGUUGCCAAGCCGUAAGGUGGAGCUAAUCCCUUAAAGCUACUCUCAGUUCGGAUUGUAGGCUGAAACUCGCCUACAUGAAGCUGGAGUUACUAGUAAUCGCAGAUCAGAAUGCUGCGGUGAAUGCGUUCCCGGGUCUUGUACACACCGCCCGUCACACCACGGGAGUUGGAGACGCCCGAAGCCGAUUAGCAAACCUUUUGGAAGAAGUCGUCGACGGUGGAACCAAGUACUGGGGUGAAGGCGUAACAAGGUAGCCGUAGCGGAAGGUGCGGCUGGAUCACAUCCGUUCUAAGGAGA